rnacentral:rRNA from 1 species
UGGAGGGGGUGGCAUGGCUCCUGUAGUCGACGAUGAUGCCCAGCAUUGCUGGGCGGAUUAGUGGCGAACAGGUGAGUAACACGUGAGUAACCUGCCCUUGACUUCGGGAUAACUCCGGGAAACCGGGGCUAAUACCGGAUAUGAGCCGUCCUCGCAUGGGGGUGGUUGGAAAGUUUUUCGGUCAGGGAUGGGCUCGCGGCCUAUCAGCUUGUUGGUGGGGUGAUGGCCUACCAAGGCGACGACGGGUAGCCGGCCUGAGAGGGCGACCGGCCACACUGGGACUGAGACACGGCCCAGACUCCUACGGGAGGCAGCAGUGGGGAAUAUUGCACAAUGGGCGCAAGCCUGAUGCAGCGACGCCGCGUGAGGGAUGAAGGCCUUCGGGUUGUAAACCUCUUUCAGCAGGGAAGAAGCGCAAGUGACGGUACCUGCAGAAGAAGCGCCGGCUAACUACGUGCCAGCAGCCGCGGUAAUACGUAGGGCGCAAGCGUUGUCCGGAAUUAUUGGGCGUAAAGAGCUCGUAGGCGGUUUGUCGCGUCUGGUGUGAAAACUCGAGGCUCAACCUCGAGCUUGCAUCGGGUACGGGCAGACUAGAGUGCGGUAGGGGAGACUGGAAUUCCUGGUGUAGCGGUGGAAUGCGCAGAUAUCAGGAGGAACACCGAUGGCGAAAGGCAGGUCUCUGGCGCCGCAACUGACGCUAAGGAGCGAAAAGCAUGGGGAGCAAGCAGGAUUAGACCCCUAGGUAGUCCAGCCGUAAACGUUGGGCAGUAGGGUGUGGGGCUCAUUCCACGAGUUCCGUGCCGCAGCAAACGCAUUAAGUGCCCCGCCUGGGGAGUACGGCCGCAAGGCUAUAACUCAAAGGAAUUGACGGGGGCCCGCACAAGCGGCGGAGCAUGCGGAUUAAUUCGAUGCAACGCGAAGAACCUUACCAAGGCUUGACAUGCACGGGAAGCCACCAGAGAUGGUGGUCUCUUUGGACACUCGUGCACAGGUGGUGCAUGGUUGUCGUCAGCUCGUGUCGUGAGAUGUUGGGUUAAGUCCCGCAACGAGCGCAACCCUCGUCCCAUGUUGCCAGCGGGUUAUGCCGGGGACUCAUGGGAGACUGCCGGGGUCAACUCGGAGGAAGGUGGGGAUGACGUCAAAUCAUCAUGCCCCUUAUGUCUUGGGCUUCACGCAUGCUACAAUGGCCGGUACAAAGGGCUGCGAUACCGUAAGGUGGAGCGAAUCCCAAAAAGCCGGUCUCAGUUCGGAUUGGGGUCUGCAACUCGACCCCAUGAAGUCGGAGUCGCUAGUAAUCGCAGAUCAGCAACGAGCGGUGAAUACGUUCCCGGGCCUUGUACUCUCUAG